rnacentral:rRNA from 1 species
CAGGUAGGACUACCCCGCUGAACUUAAGCAUAUCAAUAA